AUGCGCGAGGCCGAGACGCAGAAGGUCCUUCAGGACGAGCAGUGCUUCGAGAUAAUCCGCAAGAAGCUACAGCGGGACGCGAUGGACGACUUCUCGCUGGUGGCUAUGAAAUCGUGCCAAUCGACGUGGUGAACGGCUUCCUGGGCCAGUACUACACGCUGAGAGCCACCGUGGCGCGGUCGCCAUUGGAGACUAAGAGCAUCAACUUCUUCACCAAAACGCCGCCGCCGGUCAGCAGCCCGCAAUACGACUUUAUUCAGGAGUACGGCACGUUUAAGAAGGAGGUGGCCCUUUACACCACAGUGUUCCCGGAGAUGCUAGACGGCCGUGAUGAGCGGUGCAUCCCGGAGUGCUGCCUCGGGGUCGAGAACGACGUGAUCGUCCUCGAGGACAUGGCUCAUAGCGGUUACACGAUGACCGACAAAUUCAUGCCGUUUGACUACGAGCAUUGCGCGACCUUGAUGAGGACGCUCGCGAAAUUCCACGCGAAGUCUCUCAUCUUCGAGCAGCAGUACAAGAAGACCCUGCACGACAAGUUCACUCCUUGCAUGCAGGAGACCUUGUGGCCGCGCACGGAUGGUCGGGCGAGGGCGAUGUUCGACGCUGCCGUGAAGGGCAUCGUCUCAAUGGUCGAUCUGCUGCCCGGGUUGAACAGCGAUCACGACGGCUUCAAGAAUAAGAUCAAGGAAUUGUGCGCGGACCACACGGAUAAAUUGUCGCCGUCGGCGAAGCAUAAGAACGUAUUGUGCCAUGGCGAUCUGUGGGCAAAUAAUAUUCUGUUCAAAUACGACGAUGACGGGAAGCCUGUUGAAUGCUGCCUCAUCGAUUUCCAGUUGGCAAGGUACAAUCCACCAGCUCACGACGUACUAUGUUUCUUGCAAUUUACGACGACGCGACAGCUACGAAAAAAGCACCGCAACACGCUUUUUAGGAUCUACCACGACUCCAUGGUAGCUGUAAUGAAGGAGGCUGGUCUGAGCAUAUCGGACAUUUUCCCUUGGGACGAGUUCGACGAGUCGAUCCGCGAUUUGCACGUCAUGUGCAUGAUCCACGGUGUCUUAAAUACGCCGAUUAUGCUACUGGGACCUGAUGCGGUUAGCAAGUACUUCUGUGAGAAACCGGAACUCCUCGAAAGCGUCUUGUACGUUGACAGGACACCGCUGAUUUGCGGCCAGUUCAAAGAAGCGCCAGAGUACCGUGCUCGAAUGAUAGACGGCUUGCUGGAGUUGUACGAUUACCUAGUCAAUUAGAAUCGCACGAGUCUUUGCACGUAGUUCAAACUUUAAUGAGACGAUAAAAUAUUCACGCUUCGUCGCCGAGAAUAAAGUUUGCGACGUGCAAAGUUCGAAAGGAGUGCGAAGAACGCGCUUAAGAUUCUUGGGUAUGAUAUGCAUGGAUAUCUCGGCAUUGAUAGUACCUCCCAUAAACAAAUAUAUGUUAACGUUAGAUUACACUUAUCGGGGAGAAGUUACCCAGCAA